GGUUGCGUAGCUCAGUUGGAUAGAGCAUCUGCCUUCUAAGCAGACGGUCGUAGGUUCGAAUCCUACCGCAAUCA
rnacentral:tRNA from 1 species